ACGAACGGUCUAGCAGGUGACAGAACGACGGUCUGCAGGUGACAGAACGAACGUCUAGCAGGUGACGAACGAACACGGUCUGCAGGUGACAGAACGAACGGUCUAGCAGGUGACAGAACGAACGGUCUAGCAGGUGACAAAACUGUCUAGCAGGUGACAAAACUGUCUAGCAGGUGACAAAAUGUCUCAGGUAGCAGCAGCCAGGUAGCCCGAGUGACAGGAACCCGACUGUCUGACUCACUAGCCAAGAUAAAGCUCAACCACUUCCUCUGAAACACACCAGUCAGUAGACCAUUAAGCAUAUAGGCUGGUUGACUUAGCUAACAUGGUCCACUUCCCCAACCCAUGACAGAAAGACCU
rnacentral:lncRNA from 1 species